AUUGAACGCUGGCGGCAUGCUUUACACAUGCAAGUCGAACGGCAGCGGGGGCUUCGGCCUGCCGGCGAGUGGCGAACGGGUGAGUAAUGCAUCGGAACGUGCCCAUGUCGUGGGGGAUAACGUAUCGAAAGGUACGCUAAUACCGCAUACGUCCUGAGGGAGAAAGCGGGGGAUCUUCGGACCUCGCGCGAUUCGAGCGGCCGAUGUCGGAUUAGCUAGUAGGUGAGGUAAAGGCUCACCUAGGCGACGAUCCGUAGCGGGUCUGAGAGGAUGAUCCGCCACACUGGGACUGAGACACGGCCCAGACUCCUACGGGAGGCAGCAGUGGGGAAUUUUGGGCAAUGGGCGCAAGCCUGAUCCAGCCAUGCCGCGUGAGUGAAGAAGGCCUUCGGGUUGUAAAGCUCUUUCGGCCGGGAAGAAAUCGUGUUCUCUAACAUAGGACAUGGAUGACGGUACCGGACUAAGAAGCACCGGCUAACUACGUGCCAGCAGCCGCCGUAACAC
rnacentral:rRNA from 1 species